CCUACGGGUGGCAGCAGUCGAGAAUCAUUCACAAUGGGCGAAACCCUGAUGGUGCGACGCCGCGUGAGGGAAUGAAGGUCUUCGGAUUGUAAACCCCUGUCAUGUGGGAGCAAAUUAAAAAGAUAGUACCACAAGAGGAAGAGACGGCUAACUCUGUGCCAGCAGCCGCGGUAAUACAGAGGUCUUAAGCGUUGUUAGGAAUCAGUGGGCGGAAAGCGUGCGUAGGCUGUUUCGUAAGUCGUGUGUGAAAGGCGCGGGCUCAACCCGCGGACGGCACAUGAUACUGGGAGACUAGAGUAAUGGAGGGGGAACCGGAAUUCUUGGUGUAGCAGUGAAAUGCGUAGAUAUCGAGAGGAACACUCGUGGCGAAGGCGGGUUCCUGGACAUUAACUGACGCUGAGGCACGAAGGCCAGGGGAGCGAAAGGGAUUAGAUACCCCGGUAGUC
rnacentral:rRNA from 1 species